rnacentral:rRNA from 1 species
GGCCAGACUCCUACGGGAGGCAGCAGUGGGGAAUAUUGCACAAUGGGGGAAACCCUGAUGCAGCGACGCCGCGUGAAGGAUGAAGUAUUUCGGUAUGUAAACUUCUAUCAGCAGGGAAGAAAAUGACGGUACCUGACUAAGAAGCCCCGGCUAACUACGUGCCAGCAGCCGCGGUAAUACGUAGGGGGCAAGCGUUAUCCGGAUUUACUGGGUGUAAAGGGAGCGUAGACGGCAGCACAAGUCUGGAGUGAAAUCCCGGGGCUUAACCCCGGAACUGCUUUGGAAACUGUGCGGCUGGAGUGCAGGAGGGGUAAGCGGAAUUCCUGGUGUAGCGGUGAAAUGCGUAGAUAUCAGGAGGAACACCGGUGGCGAAGGCGGCUUACUGGACCAUAACUGACGUUGAGGCUCGAAAGCGUGGGGAGCGAACAGGAUUAGAUACCCCUGUA